GUAAAAAGAUGGCUUAUCAGAAGGUCAAUGCAGAUUUAAGAACCCCAGGACACUCACAGUACUUAGACAAUGAUGACAUCCAAGCCAUAGCACUUGAUUUAGAGUAGGAUAUGGAGAAGGAACUGGAAGAGCCUGCCUUUGACCAGUUCCAACCAGAUAAUGCUGAGACUCAGAACUUGGGGCAGNNNNNNNNNNNNNNNNNNNNNNNNNNNNNNNNNNNNNNNNNNNNNNNNNNNNNNNNNAGCAACCAUUAGAACUUUUGCUACCUUUUAAAAUUAAUUUGCACAGCCACCAUUCUAUUUAUUUUUGGAAUUCUAAUAGGUUAUUAUGCACACACGAAUUGCCCUCCUGACGCCACACCAUCAAGAUCAAUUGACCCUCAUUUAUACCAGGAUAUUCUCAACACAAUCAAAGCAGAAGAUAUUAAGAAAUCCUUCAGAAAUUUGGUAAAACUCUAUAAAAGUGAAGAUGACAUGGAAAUUUCAAAGAAGAUUAAGACUCACUGGACAGCAUUGGGCUUGGAAGAUACACAGAUUCUGAACUACUCAGUGUUGCUGGAUUUCCCUGGGCCCUCUCCAAGCACCAUCACUGUGAGCAGCACUGGCCAGUGCUUUUAUCCUGAUGGCCAACCUUGCAGGGAAGAAGCCAGAAAAGGCCAUAGCCAAGAUCUGCUCUCAUCAUAUGCAGCCUAUUCUGCCAAAGGAACUCUCCAGGCUGAUGUCAUCGAUGUGAGUUAUGGAACUACAGAUGAUUUUAAAAGGAUUACAAAAUUAAAAAAUACAACAAAUCAAAUUGCACUGCUAAAAUUAGGAAAAUUACCACUGCUCUAUAAGCUUUCCUUAUUGGAAAAGGCUGGGUUUGGAGGUGCUCUUCUCUACAUUGACCCUUGUGAUGUACCAAAGUCUGAAGAUCUUAGCUCUGAGACAUUUAUGGUGACACUGAAUCCAGGAGGAGAUCCUUCUACACCUGGGUACCCCAGUCUUGAGGGAAGCUUUAGACAGAGCCGACCAAACCUCACCUCCCUGUUAGUGCAGCCCAUCUCUGCGUCCUUCGCUCAAAAACUCAUUGGUUUGCGGAAACUGAGAAUGGAUAAUGAUGCCUGUAGCCCUCUAGAACUCCCAUAUAAUGAGAAAAGAACUGUACGUUUGCAAGUGCAGACAGUAACAAAAUUUAAAACAGUGACCAAUGUUGUUGGGUAUCUAAAAGGCUUGACAUCACCGGACCGGUAUAUUAUAGUUGGCAGUAACCACCAUGCUGGAUACAGUUAUAAUGGACAAGAUUGGGCCAGCAGUACUGCAAUAAUCACAGCAUUUAUCCAAGCCUUGAUGUUAAGAGUGAAGAAAGGAUGGAGACCAGAACGUACUAUUGUUUUCUCUUCGUGGGGAGGAACGACCUGGGGCAAUAUUGGCUCCUAUGAAUGGGGAGAGGAUUUUGCAAAGAUUCUACAAAAGAACACUGUGGCUUACAUUAGUCUCCAUAGUCCUGUCCAUGGCAACACAAGUCUGCAUCCAGUAGCAUCUCCAUCUCUCCAGCAACUGGUUCUGGAGAAAAAUAAGUUCUACUGUUCCAGAAGAGCUCAGUGCCCAGGGGCCAAUGUCAGCGCUGUACAGAUACAAGGUGACACACAUUAUUUCAUCAACCAUCUUGGAGUUCCGACUGUACAGUUUGCUUAUGAGGAUCUGAAAGCAUUAGAGGGUCCAAGUUUUCUCUCUGAAGCCAUUUUUCCUAAACAUGCAACAAAAAUUGAAGAAGUGGAUCCAUCUUUCACCCUCCAUGAAGCCAUUACUAAGCUCUCAGGAGAAGUAAUUUUACAAAUUGCCAGUGAACCUGUUCUGCCCUUCAAUGCCCUUGAUAUAGCCCUAGGAGUUCAAAACAGUCUUAAAGGUGGUGAGCCCAGUGUCCCUUACCUGCUUACAAUGGCAUCACGAUUGAGGGAGAGUGCUGAACUCUUCCAGUCAGAUGAGAUGCGGCCUGCUAAUGACCCAAAGGAGAGAGCUGCCAGUCGUGUCCGAAUGCUGAAUGACAUUCUUCAAGACCUGGAGAAGAACUUCCUGGUAGAACACGUGCCACCUGGUUUUUAUAGAAACAUCCUGUACCAUCUUGAUGGGAAGACAAGAGAGUUUUCCAUCCUCAAGGAGGCUUGGGAGUACAGCAGUCCACUGUUAUCCAAUGAGACCUUGCAACAGGCCCUGUCUGGUGUGCUGAAUAGCAUUAAUUCAGCUAAGGAAUACUUCAAAGCAGGACUGGAAGUGUUUGAGAGUGUCUUGGUGGAAAAGAACUGA
ensembl:lincRNA